rnacentral:lncRNA from 1 species
UUUUUUUUUUUUUUCUUUCAUUAUUCUUCCUUCGAGGCAUUUCUGACUCCGUUUUAAAUCCCCCUGGUUACUUGUACUGCUCUUUCCUCAUUUUCCCCUUUUGUGGGCUAAAUGUUUUUCUCAUCAUUAACUGCUUUUGUGGCUCUUUGAAGCUAGCAACUUCUGGCUCCCAGGAGGGAGUACUAGCUUGUUAGUAAUCCUGCUUUUAACCUUCAUUGGCUAGGCAUUCUCUCCACAAUAGUGAACUGGAGGAGGGGCAGGAGCCCUGUGUGAUCUUUGAGCCCUACCUGGCUGACUUCCCCAGUGCCAGCAAAGGCCACUUGAGUAAGAGUGGCAGCUGAGACCACUAGCCUUCCUGCGGGUGGUUCUUCAUGGGGUGGGCUGAGGCUUGCGUUAGCCAUGCAUCUCUCUCAAGAAGGCUAAUGUGGAUUUAGGGUAUGAGUCCCAGGAAAGAUGGGCGGAAGCAGACUGAAGACAGGUUCAGAGCAGCCACUGAGGGUCAUGUCUACCUCUGCCAGGAGGACCUCAUCUCCUGUCAUGCCUGUUGAGUAUGCAGGUGGCUCCCUGCGUGAGCCCUUAGGUAUGCUUAGCUGGGAUUGCAUCUUCUCUCUACCCUCCACAAGUGUGUGUCUUUUGGCUGUGGUGUCCCUUCCUUGAUGCUGCCAUGUCUUCUGGAAGUAUUUGAAUCUCAGUUUUCUACGGAUUGCCCAGUGGCUGCUUGGACAGCCAAGUGGGGCUGGUGUCCACUGCUCUUCCUGUUUGGAACUGUAGUGCUCUUGGACCCUUCUGGGUGGAUUUUUGGUAGCUCUGAGGCCUGGUAAACUCUGAGUUCCUGGUUUUUUGGCAGCUGUCCAACCUUCCUACAAGCACCUUUCUAUGUGUGGUCUUAUGUUUAUUCUUAUAAUUAGAGAACUAUCUUAGUGGAAGAACAUUUGCCUAACAUGUGCAUUAUCCUGGGUUUGAUCCCAUCAGUCUCUACUCCCCCACCCCCAAUAAAACAUCCCCAUGACUAUUCUGUUCUAUCCAGAAUGUGCUGGGCAGAAUGGGAUGUGAUUUCAGUACCACAUUUGUGGGUCUUUGACCAGAGUUGGAAUCAGCUAUGUCUCCCGUGGCUUCUCAUAGCUGGCCCAUCCUGGUACCCCAAGAUCAUUCAUUCUUGAUGACUGAGCCUGAUGAGUCUUAGAGAGAGAACAGGGCAGCCUGCUGGGCUUUAAGGCUCUGAGUGAUCAGGGAAGACAGUGUGAGCCCAACUCCUGGGUCUCUGGGGGAAGAAUGGCCUCCAUAAAGUCCCUGCUGCCUGGGGCUCCUUCGUGCAGUCACCUGCUGAACUUAGCUAAGAGGGUGUGGGUAGGUCUUCAUUUUGUUUUUGAUUGAUACAUGGUAAUUGUACCUAUUUAUAGGACAGACUGUCAUGUUUUAGUAUGUUGUACAAUGAGGAAAUAAAGGUAAUUAGCAUCUCUAUCAUCUUAAAAAUUCACCAUCUCUUUGUGUUGAGAAGACU